rnacentral:rRNA from 1 species
GAUGAACGCUGGCGGCGUGCCUAAUACAUGCAAGUCGAGCGAACAGACGAGGAGCUUGCUCCUCUGACGUUAACGGCGGACGGGUGAGUAACACGUGGAUAACCUACCUAUAAGACUGGGGUAACUUCGGGAAACCGGAGCUAAUACCGGAUAAUAUAUUGAACCGCAUGGUUCAAUAGUGGAAGACGGUUUUGCUGUCACUUAUAGAUGGAUCCGCGCCGCAUUAGCUAGUUGGUAAGGUAACGGCUUACCAAGGCAACGAUGCGUAGCCGACCUGAGAGGGUGAUCGGCCACACUGGAACUGAGACACGGUCCAGACUCCUACGGGAGGCAGCAGUAGGGAAUCUUCCGCAAUGGGCGAAAGCCUGACGGAGCAACGCCGCGUGAGUGAUGAAGGUCUUCGGAUCGUAAAACUCUGUUAUUAGGGAAGAACAAAUGUGUAAGUAACUAUGCACGUCUUGACGGUACCUAAUCAGAAAGCCACGGCUAACUACGUG